GAUGAAGAACGUAGUGAAAUGCGAUAAGUAAUGUGAAUUGCAGAAUUCAGUGAAUCAUCGAAUCUUUGAACGCACAUUGCGCCCCCUGGUAUUCCGGGGGGCAUGCCUGUCCGAGCGUCAUUACAACCCUCAAGCUCAGCUUGGUAUUGGGCCCCGCCGACCCGGCGGGCCCUAAAGUCAGUGGCGGUGCCGUCCGGCUCCGAGCGUAGUAAUUCUUCUCGCUCUGGAGGUCCGGUCGUGUGCUCGCCAGCAACCCCCAAUUUUUUUCAGGUUGACCUCGGAUCAGGUAGGGAUACCCGCUGAACUUAAACAUAUCAAUAAGCGGAGGA
rnacentral:misc_RNA from 1 species